UCCCUUGGUGGUCUAGUGGUUAGGAUUUGGCACUUUCACUGCUAUGGCCCUGGUUCAAUCCCUGGUCAGGGAA
rnacentral:tRNA from 1 species